UACGGAGGGCGCAAGCGGUGUUCGGAAUUACUGGGCGUAAAGCGCGUGUAGGCGGCCAGGUAAGUCGGAUGUGAAAGCCCGGGGCCCAACCCCGGAACUGCACCCGAUACUGCCCGGCUGGAGUCCCGGAGAGGAUGGCGGAAUUUCCGGUGUAGAGGUGAAAUUCGUAGAUAUCGGAAGGAACACCAGUGGCGAAGGCGGCCAUCUGGACGGUGACUGACGCUGAGACGCGAAAGCGUGGGUAGCAAGCAGG
rnacentral:rRNA from 1 species